UAGGGAAUCUUCCGCAAUGGGCGAAAGCCUGACGGAGCAACGCCGCGUGAGUGAUGAAGGUCUUCGGAUCGUAAAACUCUGUUAUUAGGGAAGAACAAAUGUGUAAGUAACUAUGCACGUCUUGACGGUACCUAAUCAGAAAGCCACGGCUAACUACGUGACAGCAGCCGCGGUAAUACGUAGGUGGCAAGCGUUAUCCGGAAUUAUUGGGCGUAAAGCGCGCGUAGGCGGUUUUUUAAGUCUGAUGUGAAAGCCCACGGCUCAACCGUGGAGGGUCAUUGGAAACUGGAAAACUUGAGUGCAGAAGAGGAAAGUGGAAUUCCAUGUGUAGCGGUGAAAUGCGCAGAGAUAUGGAGGAACACCAGUGGCGAAGGCGACUUUCUGGUCUGUAACUGACGCUGAUGUGCGAAAGCGUGGGGAUCAAACAGG
rnacentral:rRNA from 1 species